rnacentral:rRNA from 1 species
AGAGUUUGAUCAUGGCUCAGGAUGAACGCUAGCGGCAGGCUUAAUACAUGCAAGUCGAGGGGCAGCACGGGUAGCAAUACUUUGGUGGCGACCGGCAAACGGGUGCGGAACACGUACAGAACCUUCCUUCGAGCGGGGCAUAGCCCGGAGAAAUCCGGAUUAAUACCCCAUAGUAAACCGGAGUGGCAUCACUUUGGUUUUAAAGAUUUAUCACUUGAAGAUGGCUGUGCGCCUGAUUAGGUAGUUGGCGGGGUAACGGCCCACCAAGCCUUCGAUCAGUAACUGGCGUGAGAGCGCGACCAGUCACACGGGCACUGAGACACGGGCCCGACUCCUACGGGAGGCAGCAGUAAGGAAUAUUGGUCAAUGGACGCAAGUCUGAACCAGCCAUGCCGCGUGGAGGAUGAAGGUCCUCUGGAUUGUAAACUUCUUUUAUUUGGGACGAAAAAAGGGAAUUCUUUCCCGUCUGACGGUACCAGAUGAAUAAGCACCGGCUAACUCCGUGCCAGCAGCCGCGGUAAUACGGAGGGUGCAAGCGUUAUCCGGAUUUACUGGGUUUAAAGGGUGCGCAGGCGGAUAUGUAAGUCAGUGGUGAAAUCUCUAGGCUUAACCUGGAAAUUGCCGUUGAUACUAUAUAUCUUGAAUGCUGUGGAGGUAAGCGGAAUAUGUCAUGUAGCGGUGAAAUGCUUAGAUAUGACAUAGAACACCUAUUGCGAAGGCAGCUUACUACGCAGAUAUUGACGCUCAUGCACGAAAGCGUGGGGAUCAAACAGGAUUAGAUACCCUGGUAGUCCACGCCCUAAACGAUGAUUACUCGACAUACGCGAUACACAGUGUGUGUCUGAGCGAAAGCAUUAAGUAAUCCACCUGGGAAGUACGACCGCAAGGUUGAAACUCAAGGAAUUGGCGGGGGUCCGCACAAC